CAGUAGCCGCGGGAAUACGAAGGGGGCUAGCGUUGUUCGGAUUUACUGGGCGUAAAGCGCACGUAGGCGGACGCUUAAGUCAGGGGUGAAAUCCCGAGGCUCAACCUCGGAACUGCCUUUGAUACUGGGUGUCUUGAGUCCGGGAGAGGUGAGUGGAACUGCGAGUGUAGAGGUGAAAUUCGUAGAUAUUCGCAAGAACACCAGUGGCGAAGGCGGCUCACUGGUCCGGAACUGACGCUGAGGCACGACAGCGUGGGGAGCAAACAGGAUUAGAUACCCCCGUAGUCCCUGUCUCUUAUAC
rnacentral:rRNA from 1 species